AGUCGCUGGACCCGCGCAGGUACUCCGGCGUCGUCCUCGACGAAG
rnacentral:misc_RNA from 1 species